AUGCUUCUCAGACCAGAGUGUGGCUUUUUUUCUGAUUAUGGAGUUCCUGUGCCCAUCUUGUUCUUCUGGAUGUGGUCAUCAGCUGCAGAUGUGAAGGUGUAUGACCUAUCUUCUAGAAACAUCAGGCAGAGAACUGAGACUCAGUGGAUAAAGGUCCCUGGGACAAUUGAGAAACAACUUGACAGAGGGUCAAAAUAAACCCUCGUGCAGGAGCAUAGAGCUGUUCCAAGUAACCUUCUAAGGACAUUGUCUUUAUCCUAUUUUUUCAUAGGGCAGUUUCCACACUUACCAGUUCUUCUGUAUGAGGUUUCUAUGCUGUCUCCUAUCUGUAUUACUGAGCAUAGCUCUUCCAUUAGCUAAAUGCUACAAUCCCUGUCAUGGAGAAUAUCACAAAGAACACGAAUUUGGCAAAGAUUCUCUUUGAGCUAUUAUUAUCUGUAGUUACUCUGUACAGAAGGUGCUUGUUUAGCGUGAUGUCUUACUGUCUGGGACUGUGAAAUAAAAUCAGUAUAAAAGUUUUGACCA
rnacentral:lncRNA from 1 species